UUUUUUGUAUAUUAUUGGAUUUUGAAAAUCUAAAAAGGAUUUGAUCAUCCGCAAAAAAA
rnacentral:tRNA from 1 species